GCUUGUUUGGUGACGUUACAUAUCACCAAUAAAUAUUAUUAUUAUUAUAAUCCUGCUUUGUUUUUUUCUUAGUUUUUCGGUGUCCCCCCACACAAACAUAUAAAGUGUUCAAAGUGUCUCUGAUCUUACAAAUAACACAUAGAAACAUGGUUGCAAAGCUAAAAUGUUCAGCAUAUUUAGGAAAUAUGUGCUACUGUCACUGGCCAAUACGUAUAAUAACUAAUUUGAUAUUCACACAUAUAUGAAUAUCAAAAUGAUUGGGAUCCUAGAGCAGACUCAUUGCACAACACUAAAGACUACCUAAAGUUAUAAACAUUGUGAAUAAGACAUUGAAAGUUAAGAUUUUUAAUAUGAGAAGGAUUGGCUAGUCUCAAGUGCCCACUCCCAGCUGUGGUAAGGGGGAUGAUAUUUUGACACUUCACUCCAUAGAGGCCUUUCUUGGUACCAGGCUGUAAACAAAUGUUCUGCCAUUAUAACAAUGAAGUCUGUGUGGGCUGACUUGCUUUUGGGCCCUGCCUCAAGUGGCCACUCUCAGAACAGCAGUUUUAGGCACGUCUGCAUUAGCUUCAUUUUACAGUCUGUCAGGCUGGUACAUCAUUCUUAAUUUAUGCUACCGUUGUGUCUGUUGCAGUCCUCCAAAAUCCAAACAUGAUCAACAUGGAUGCUAGGAAGGAAAGGGAGUGGCAGCAGCAUUCUUCUGGAAUGGGAAAAGCACGAAAAGACAUCAAAGUUUAAAAACUGGAUGAUGGACCAGAAACAACUCCUUGUACCAGAUAUUUGAGACUGCCCCCACCUGACAACAGAUGCACUCUGCAGGUAGAUGGGCAGUCCUUAGCUGCCCAUAUACUGCCAAUGCACUACCACUGCUGAACCAUAGUUUCCUCAUGAGUGUUACCUACUGCAUCAGCUUGUAAAGAGUUGUGGCAGUGCAUUCCUUUUUUCCAUACGUUUUUUCGUUUCUCCACCUGUCUGCCUCAGUCUCAUAAAAAGGACAUGGCUUGAAAGCAUUUAGGAUUUUUUCCCCCUUUGAUACAGUGAGGAGGGGAUUAGACUUUGGUGGUCAAAGAUCACUCUCCAUUUGACCUGCUUUGGUGCUCAUUCUGAUUGUACAGGUAGAACAGCUCCUCCAAGAGGAUGGCACAUCGAAAUCUGCAAAUUUCACUCCAGCUCUCCGUGAUGUUAUGACUUAGAGAUUUCAAGGGGCAGGCAAGUACACAAGGAGAGUUAGGACAGCAGACAUCGUCAGCAAUGACUAGUACUUUCUUCUUUGUUUGAGGAGGAACAUGAGGAGCAGUGACCUCCAGAGGGUUACACAAAUGUGCAUGUUUCUAACCAAACUGUCACGAGUGACGUAUGUCAAUAUAAAAGAAAAAAAAAAUCUUGAGACCUUAAGAUAAACAAGGAGAUCAUUUAAUUUGUUUUUUCUCAUACUUUUUAAACUCAUUUGUCUCAUUGAGUCUAAAAAGUUGUUUCUGUCCAAACAGAGGUGAUAAACAUAAACACAUAAACUGGCUGCAAGUCCUGAUUUUACCCCAGUUUAAGAUGCAAAGAAUUAUAACCAUCGGCUAGUAUUUUACGUUAUUUCUCUUCAGUUUCAAUCCUGAUAUUAUAAUAAGCUGAUAACUGUGAUUGGUUGCUUGUACAAAGGUUUACUGUGUUAAAUAUGAACAUAGUAAAUAGUUCCGUAAAUUUUAAAUAAAGUUUAAAAGGCCCUUAGUGACUUAACUUCAGCUAUGUGUAUUUUACGGCCACAUGUAUCUAUGUGUAGCAGACCAUUCAACUAUAAUAACAAUACAUUAGGAUGGAAUUACUCAUCAUUUACCUGUCAAACCGCAAGCUACGCCCAUACAAGGCAUCCCAGUCCCACCCAUAUGUGGUCCAACCCUUAGAAACGUCCCAUUACCGUCACAAGUACAGGAAAAAUGGCGGCGAGUAUGUUGCGGCUCCCGCUGCGACUUUCCUCCAGAAAUAUGGGGAUAAUGACCCGUAAUACCGGCUUGAAGACCUCAAAUAUACCCAGGACGACUCAAAGCAGGACCGCAGUGUCUACGCCGUCUGGAGCAAUUCUACCGAAGCCG